UGGGGAAUCUUCCGCAAUGGACGAAAGUCUGACGGAGCAACGCCGCGUGAGUGAAGACGGCCUUCGGGUUGUAGAGCUCUGUGAUCCGGGACGAAAGAGCCUGAGGUAAAUAGCCUAAGGAAGUGACGGUACCGGAAAAGCAAGCCACGGCUAACUACGUGCCAGCAGCCGCGGUAAUACGUAGGUGGCAAGCGUUGUCCGGAAUUAUUGGGCGUAAAGCGCGCGCAGGCGGCUUCCUAAGUCCAUCUAAAAAGUGGGGGGCUUACCCCGAGGAGGGGAGGAAAACUGGAAGGUUGAGGUGUCGGGGGGGAAGGUGAAAUCCUUGGUUCGCGGGUAAAAGGCGAGAGGUUUAGGAAGAACCCGGGUGGGAAAGGGAACUUCUGGUGCAAAAGCUACCCCUGGGCGCCAAAGGGGGGGGAGCAAACAGG
rnacentral:rRNA from 1 species